GGAAAAGAAACUAACAAGGAUUCCCCCAGUAACGGCGAGCGAAGUGGGAAGAGCUCGAGCCUGAAAUCUCUGGCAGUUGCUGCCGGCGAGUUGUGGCCGGGAGAAGACACUUGAUCCGCGUCUGCGGCGUCGAAGUUGACCUGGAAGGGCACGUCGUAGAGGGUGAGAGCCCCGUGCGCGGCCUCGCGGAGCGGGGCAACGGUGGUCUUCGGAGAGUCGGGUUGUUUGGGAAUGCAGCCCAAAUGUGGUGGUAAACUCCACCUAAAGCUAAAUACUGGCACGAGACCGAUAGCGAACAAGUACCGUGAGGGAAAGGUGAAAAGCACUUUGAAAAGAGAGUCAAAGAGACCGCGAAACCGUUGGGAGGGAAACGGAUGUGGCCGUGAAGGCUCCUUUCAGGUUCAGGGCGUCUCCGCUCGGGCGGCAGCGGCGGCUGGGAACCCUUUGUCGGGUCCGGCCGCGGCGAGUCCGCGGAGGCUCCUGCAUUCCCGUCUGGAGUCCGCCAACGGCGGGUGUCGGCGGUCGAAGAGGGUCGCGGGGCUAGGUGCCUCUUCCCGGCUCGGCCGGGCGGGAGGGCUUACAGCCUUCGGCUCGGAGAGCGUCGACGCCCGAGGAGUGUUGCGACCUCUCGCACGACGUAGCGCAGGCCGCCCUCGGGGGGCCGGGUCGCUCUCGUACUUGCGUCCUUCGCGGCGAGGCACUGCUCGCAGAGUCCGCCGACGUUCGGGGCGCUCGCACGGGGGACGGAUCACGCUUUGCGCUUCGGUCGUUGGCGCGAGUACGGCUCCAUUCCACCCGUCUUGAAACACGGACCAAGGAGUGCAAGAGGCGCGCGAGUCUUUGGGUGUGCAAACCCCGGGGCGAAAUGAAAGUGAAGGGAACUCUCGCGGUCCCCGAGGCGAGAGCCCGCGGCCUCGUGUUGUGUGCGGGCGCAUCGUCGACCGAUCCCAGGCUACGCUGUGGUGGGAUUCGAGUGAGAGCGAGCCUGUUGCGACCCGAAAGAUGGUGAACUAUGCCUGAAUAGGGCGAAGCCAGAGGAAACUCUGGUGGAAGCUCGCAGCGGUUCUGACGUCAAAUC
rnacentral:rRNA from 1 species